GGGGAUGUGGUCUAGUGGUAUGACGGAUCCUUAGCAUGGAUCAGGUCCAGGGUUCGAUUCCCUGCAUCUCCA
rnacentral:tRNA from 1 species